GUUAAUUUGAAUUUCAGGUAUUUUUUUAAAACAUAAGUAUAUCCCAAAUGUUGUGUGGGACAUACUUAUACUAAAAAAAUUGUUUACAUUACUUGUUACAUAUUCAAGUAUAAUUGAAUGCCCUUUGUU
rnacentral:miRNA from 1 species